rnacentral:rRNA from 1 species
UACGUAGGGUGCGAGCGUUAAUCGGAAUUACUGGGCGUAAAGCGUGCGCAGGCGGUUUUGUAAGCCAGAUGUGAAAUCCCCGGGCUUAACCUGGGAAUGGCAUUUGGGACUGCAAGGCUUGAGUGCGGCAGAGGAGACUGGAAUUCCUGGUGUAGCAGUGAAAUGCGUAGAUAUCAGGAGGAACACCGAUGGCGAAGGCAGGUCUCUGGGCUGACACUGACGCUGAGGUGCGAAAGCGUGGGGAGCAAACAGG